rnacentral:lncRNA from 1 species
GUGAAAGUUUCAUUCGACUUGAACAGCAUUCAGAUAAAAUACGUGGAUGAAGAUAAUGACGAG